AAAAAAAGAUUACACAACUCAAUUAUGUAAUUUAUAAUGGAAGAAUAUAAUUACAGGAAAAUUUCGCAGAAUUGCAGAUUUGGUUACUUGAAUUCCAUUGCUUGAUGGUUUCAAAAUGAUUUAAAGAUGAAAUUGUAUAAAAGUUUUAACAUACUCGCAUACAGCUCGAAUAAAUGCAUAAUAUGAAGUUCUAAAAUAAGAGAAAAAUAAAAAUAUUUAAACACGUUUCACUUUUUGGUUAACAAUUUAAAUUUUAAUCUCUAUUCUGCACAAUUCAUCAACAAUAAGCAGAUUCUUACCUUUGAAAUUAAUUUAGGUACAUGUUCUUUAACCGAAAUGUGACUGUGAUUUGAAUGAAAAUUGUUAAAGCUGUUUAUAUUAACGCAAUAUGCAUUUUUAAUGUUCCAUAAAAAUUAAAUUAAAUUUGCAUUUGUUAUAAGGUUUAUUAGUUCCACAAAGAUAUUUUUCAGUUGAAAUUUUUAUCACCAUGUUACCAUUGUUAAUCAUCUUUUCUACUCCGUUUGUUACUUGGAUAUAUAAAUAAAAUUCUUUCCAUAAUACAAUUAUAAAAAAACUGACUUUGAAUCUGAAAUUGGAAUAAAUAUUAGAAAUUAAAAUAAAAAAUUAUUAGUGUUCCUAUCGCUUCUAAAAAAAAAAUUACUUUUUAUACAAAUUUUAAGAUUUGAUUUCAGUUUAUGUGGACAUCUAACCCAAUAUUAUUCCCAAAAGGGACAGGCGAUAGUUCUACGCAAAAGUUUUUAAUUGAUGCAAAUUAGAA